UUAUUUUUAAAAUUAAAAUAAUAUAUCUCAAGUUUUUAUUUUUUAUUUUAAAUAAAAUAUUUAAUCAUAAAGCACCAUCUAAAGUAAAAUGAUAGUCACAUAAAAUUAGAAUAAAGCAAGCAUCUAUUAAAACACAUUUUCUCGGCUAUGAUUAUGCAUGAUGCUUGUAAUGUCGUCGACAUUGGAAAAAGACAAAGAAUUAUUGACGUUGUGAAAAACAUACGACUUUAUCCGUAAAAGUGCGUUGAAAUUGAUACUGGGAACGCAUUUAUGUGAACGAUCCCGUCCUGAAAACGGAUGCGCAUUGUCAUCAAUGACAUUCGACGAAUAACAAUAAUGACUUCCACAAUGCAAAAACAGGAUUAAAAAAAAAAAGAAAAGAGGAGAUAAAAAAAAAAAAAAUAUGAAAUGUGUCAGAAUCGAUGCGUAAGCUUUUUGCUUUAUAUAAAUUCUUAUCAGUGAUUUACGAUACUAACACGUGUUACAGGCAAGAUGCCAGGAUUAUAUAUAAUUUUAUUUUUGCAUAAUUGCAUUUUUCCAUAAAGAAUUAGAAAUCGGAUGGAAAACUGGAGGAUCGAAGAUGAAUCUUUGAUUAAAAAUAUAUAUAUAUAUAUAUAUAUAUAUUCAAAUAAAACUUUGAAAUAUUCAAAAAAACCCUGAGAAGGAAUAUGAAAGAUUCAUUUUUAUUCAGUACUUUUAUAUUUCUCUAAUUUUCUUCAUAAGCAAAUUUAGACAAAAUAUAUGAAAAGGCCAGAGGUUCUCGUGAAAAAAAAAUUUCACGCGAUAGGAUUUAUACAAGUCGCAUAAUUUGCGACAAUUAAUUCUAUACAACGACAAGAUUCGUCUACAUCUGCUUCCACUGGUUUGUAUAUGUUUCUCAUUAGCACGAAAUAAUAUUCUUUCAAUAACGAGAAGGCGCCGGAUGAGUCACGGAGGAGGUUCGACGACCGACGCGCCACAGCGCGGCGUAGCUUGGCCUUUAUGCGAAGCCAAACGAUGGAGGAAGCAAAGGACUCUAUGGCUAUUAAAAGAAACGCGGUAAAUUAGAGUAAGGGAAUGUCGACGAGGGAUGCAACGACACAAUGGAGAAUUUACGACCUGGACGUUUUGCUAUUUUUCUCUUUCGUGGGAUAUACAAGUAAGAAACCUUCUCUUUUCUCGUUCGACAUAUUGUUUACCAAUUGAGGAAAUCAAUUACCUUUUCUUGACUUUAAUCAUCAAUCAGAUAAUUCCAACAGUAUUACAAUCUUCAAGAGAAAACGAAGAGAAGGGUUUUUCUUUUUGUUUGACUUGUACUUAAUUGGCUUAAUGCGUUGUUUAAGGUAUCAGUUCUAUGUCCAUGAUUUUAUUUUUAUUAAAAAAAAAAAUUGAAUUUUUCAAUUUAAAUGUGAAUACACUACUAUGGAUAAAUCAUUCACAUAUUAUUGAUAUUGAAUUUAUCUUUGAAAAGGUUAGAAUAUUCCACUAUUCUAUCUUAUUAAAUCUAAUAGUGCUAAAAGACAAAGUUCGUUCACCUGCUAACUCGUAAAUUAAAGAAUAAUUUCCAAUGUCUACGAAAUGCCAUGCUCGUUCAAGGGCCAAUGCAAUUUACUGAACUGGCAGAUGACUAAGAAGCGCAGGAAGAAUUCGUAAUGAAAGAUGCGCGCGCAAGAUUCUUCGUAAAGGGGUGUAAAAAAAAUUUUAACGUCAACUCGUGGCACGAUGGAAAUUAAGAGAAGAAAACGGGCAAACAAGAUAAAAAGGAACAACGAUGGAUAUUUAGGAUGGAGCAUUGGCGCGAACCAUAAAGGGAACCACUUGAAAGAAGAAGAAGAAGAAGAAGACGAAGAAGACGAAGAAGACGAAGGAGAACAUCUUCUGAAGAGUGCUUGAGAUUUACGAGAAAAUAGAGCGUGAUUCUGGAACUACGAAUACGAAAUUACCCGGCAUCUAAAUAGAUCUAGAUAAAACCAAAAACCAAAUAAGGUAAAAAUUCUUAUCGAUCAAUUUAGUUUACAAUCCUAUCGUGAAAUAAAUCCUGGUCUUUUCGCUGUCCUACAGAAAUCAAUGACAUUGAUUCAAUCAAGUAACUCUUACACGGAAGAAAAUUGUGUAAAGUACGAAUUAAUCAACGUUAAAUCAAACAAUGUCGUAAACAAUUUCCACAUUUUGUUUACAUUUUUAUACGAAAUGUUUAUUUCUAGAUAACUAUAUAAUUGGCCAUUAAAUUUUGUAAUCGAUCGGCUAAAAAAAAAAAUGUGGCGAGCUUGAUUAUUACCAUUCCACAUGUUAUUCGCAUAAGUUUGUUAUUCGUGUCUACGAAGACACGAUUAUUUCUUCUGAUAACAGAACCGUUCUCUAUUCUAUUUUCGAUGUUGAAAUUACAAUUAAUAUUAGAACAUUCGUUUAUUUCGAUAACUAAAUAUUAUUUAUUUGGAUCGCGAUAACUGGUUAAUUUAACCACCGAGCAAAUAAGCUCAAUAUUUAUUUUCUCGUGGUUCUCCACGAUUAUAUUAACUUCAUUCAAUAUUUCUCAGUAUUUGCAUAGUAGCUCGGAUCGAUAAACGGUUCAAGUUCGAUUUUUCGAUAAUUCUGUUUACUUUAUUCAAUAAUUUUAUUUAUUUAUUCAAUAUUUAGAUUAUCUGCCUUCACUGCUUAAAAAUAAGGAAUGAUUUUUCGACCCACUCUCAAAAUAUACUUAUACUAAUAAUAUUCGUUAUUUAAUUUCUAUUAUUAUUUC
rnacentral:lncRNA from 11 species